CAGCCGCCACGGUAAUACGGAGGGUGCAAGCGUUAAUCGGAAUUACUGGGCGUAAAGCGUGCGUAGGCGGUUCGUUAAGUCUGUUGUGAAAGCCCCGGGCUCAACCUGGGAAUGGCAAUGGAUACUGGCGAGCUAGAGUGUGUCAGAGGAUGGUGGAACUCCCGGUGUAGCGGUGAAAUGCGUAGAGAUCGGGAGGAACAUCAGUGGCGAAGGCGGCCAUCUGGGACAACACUGACGCUGAGGCACGAAAGCGUGGGGAGCAAACAGGAUUAGAUACCCCCGUAGUCCCUGUCUCUUAUAC
rnacentral:rRNA from 1 species